rfam:Gossypium arboreum cultivar AKA8401 contig_10168_1, whole genome shotgun sequence.
AUCCCAUGAUGAUGGCACUUAUGAAGUAAUUUUAUGAAUCUCUCCCAUGCCUCGUACAAAUAUUCGUUAUCCAAUUGUUAGAAAGUGGUUAUCUCAUUCCGCAACUU